AGAAUCAACGCUGGCGGCGUGCCUAACACAUGCAAGUCGAACGAGAAAGUGGUAGCAAUACCAUGAGUACAGUGGCGCACGGGUGAGUAACACGUGACUAACCUACCCUGGAGUGGGGGAUAACUGAUGGAAACCUUAGCUAAUACCGCAUAAUACCUACGGGUCAAAGGAGCAAUUCGCUUCAGGAGGGGGUCGCGGCCGAUUAGUUAGUUGGCGGGGUAAUGGCCCACCAAGACAGUGAUCGGUA
rnacentral:rRNA from 1 species